rnacentral:rRNA from 1 species
CCUACGGGAGGCUGCAGUGAGGAAUAUUGGUCAAUGGCCGGAAGGCUGAACCAGCCAAGCCGCGUGAAGGACGAAGGUGCCAAGCAUUGUAAACUUCUUUUGUCAAGGGACAAAAUCAUGCUCGAGAGCCUGACCGUGGGUACUUGAAGAAAAAGCAUCGGCUAACUCCGUGCCAGCAGCCGCGGUAAUACGGAGGAUGCGAGCGUUAUCCGGUUUUAUUGGGGUUAAGGGGGGCGUAGGCGGGCUGUUAAGUCAGUGGGAAAAGCCCGGGGCUCAACCCCGGCGUGCCGUUGAAACUGGCUGUCUUGAGAUGUCGAGAGGUAUGCGGAAUGCGCAGUGUAGCGGUGAAAUGCUUAGAUAUUGCGCAGAACUCCGAUUGCGAAGGCAGCAUACCGGCGGCGAUCUGACGCUGAGGCACGAAAGCGUGGGUAUCGAACAGGAUUAGAUACCCGAGUAGUC